UAGUAGACAUUUUUAAAGAGGCGUCUAUAAUCAAUUCUGUUGAAAUUAAUGGAUACCUCUCUCUGUACUAAACAUGAGUUUUAAAUAAAAAAUAAUAAAAAACAUCCUGAUUGUUCAUGUUCUAUAGACUGCAUUACAAAGAUUUAAUAAUACAUAGUUUAAAAAGUGUUCUAACAAUCUAUUUGUUUCAUCUUGAAAAGAUUCCCUUUAAACUAAUGAGCGUCUCCAGUGAGAAAAUGACUUCAUCUCACACAGAAUGACCUUUUUUUAGUGCUCCUGCCACAGCUCUCAGGCCACUCCUUUUUAAAAAGGAGAAUCGAUCGCGCCCUCAUCACUGUACUCGGCCGAUGGGGCUUCAAGCAGAAGUAAAUACUUAAUGACGCUCCUCGGCUGGCAGGUAGACCGAAGCCUCGACUCUCACUUUCAGAGCCACCUUAGUCCUGACUCAUUUCAAUUUAGGGAUCCGGCACUUUUAAUCUUGCAAUAUUAUUCUUGCCUCCAGAGGCUUUCUUGGGUGCAGCUGUUAUUAAUCUUCGGUGUACAAGCAAUUUCUCUAAAAGCCCCCAUUUGUUUUUUACGACUCCAUUGAGAGAGGACGGCGUGGUAGCAGGAAGCGUGCCUGUAAACAAGCCAUGAAAGGUUAUGUCCCUGUCAGCAUUCACUUCUGGCCUCUCCUUGCUUUCCAGAGAAUUAAAAAAAAAAAAGAAAAAAAGCGAGGGGAGGGAGUUAUAAGAAAGCAAACUAACGAAAGUGGCGUGCAAAAGUGAUUCAAACGAGGCUCUCCGUCUCACUGCAGGAGGAAAAGCUUUCAUUGUUUACCAGAAUUUGCCAAAAAUCAAGCUUGAUGACAAAUAUAUCAGUGGCAUGUUGAUGUACAAAUACACACAAAUCCAGUUUUUGGUGGUUCUGAAACCCAAAAAGUAAAGAAACAAAUUAAAGACAUCUCAAUACAUUCCUCUUUGAUUCAUUUAUUUUCAUACAUCGCCGUGUUCCAGGUUCGGCUCAUUUGCAUCCAGCUCCCGUCAGACGUGGAAAGUAUUGUCCAGUGUGUGGGAAAGCUGCUAUAAUGACAUCAUUAAAGAAGAACCGGGUCCAUACAAAGAAAAGAGUCAGAGAAGGCCAGUAAAAGAAUCUCAGCAGGGGAAGGCUCACGUUGAGUCAGUUGCUCACCAAUUACCGUGAAACAAGACAAACAGCCAUUAGAGUGUGGACCAUUAGGCAGUAGGGAGAGCAGUCAGUGGCUGGUUGGCUUUAAAUGACGGUCACUUCGUAAUGGCCAAUCAGUCCUCUUAUUCUUUUUGGUUUAUUGAUAAUCUCUCUUAUUCGAGUCACCUUAUUACUGUUGGAUAUUUUAUUUUCUUCAUCGCUCUACCGAGUAAUUCUGCAUAUUUAUUAUGAGGAGCAUUUUAUAUACUGAUGAUUACUUAGCGUUGUUUUUAUGUACUUUAACUGGUUGAAUGAUGUAAUCGCUGCAAAUGUAGCAGGUGUUUGGUUUAGUUUAUUUAAUUCCACCAAAUUUGAUGUAAACAGUUUUUUAUGAACAUUUCUACCUGGGUGUUAGUCUGUCCGAGGGUCCGUGAACUCACCACGGUGACGCAGCAGACAGUGCUGCACAUGCGCACUCAGACUGCUGCAAACUGUGGCCGAGUUGUUAGGGAGAAGCACUGACAAAUCCCGGACAGCCGUGUAACAUUUGUGUUUUCUGUCGACCAGGUAUGAUGUUAGUCUCUCAUUUUCUCAUGUUCUUUUCAUGUUUUAUUUCACGUGCUGUGGGGGGAGGUACAUGCGCACUCAGACUGCUGCAAACUGUGGCCGAGUUGUUAGGGAGACGCACUGACAAAUCCCGGACAGCCGUGUAACAUUUGUGUUUUCUGUCGACCAGAAUAAAGAAACUAAAUCAGCAUCGGAGCCUGAUCUUCAUUCACUGACCUGAACACAGCGCAGACCAACACAGUCGAACCAGUUACACAAAGAUAGUUGGACAUCCCAAAAUAGUGAUGAUAAAACUCUUCCAUCAUAUCUUUCAGGCCACCUCUUUAUGUUUUUAGUUGUGUCUGUCAGGUAUGAUGGAGAUAAACUAAAUGAGGGCUACUUUAAAAAAAAAA